CCUACGGGUGGCUGCAGUGGGGAAUAUUGCACAAUGGGGGAAACCCUGAUGCAGCGACGCCGCGUGAGUGAAGAAGUAUUUCGGUAUGUAAAGCUCUAUCAGCAGGGAAGUAAAUGACGGUACCUGAUUCAGAAGCCCCGGCUAACUCCGUGACAGCAGGCGCGGUGCUACGUAGGGAGCAAGGGUUAUCCGGAUUUACUGGGUGUAAAGGGAGCGUAGACGGGAGCGAAAGUCCGAAGUGAAAUGCCGGGGCUUAACCCCGGAACUGCUUUUGAAACUGUGCAGCUAGAGUUCAGGUGAGGUAAGUGGAAUUCCUAGUGUAGCGGUGAAAUGCGUAGAUAUUAGGAGGAACACCAGUGGCGAAGGCGGCUUACUGGACUGUAACUGACGUUGAGGCUCGAAAGCGUGGGGAGCAAACAGGAUUAGAUACCCGUGUAGUC
rnacentral:rRNA from 1 species